CCUUGCUGGGAUUCAUCAUUAUUGUAAUUAUUACCAUUAUUAUAAAUAGUAAUUGUAGUAGUAGUAGUAAUAGUAGCAGCUUUUUUUUUUUUUUUUUAAAUAGCAACACUGAAUAAACUGUCUCUGUCAAAGAAAGGUGAUCAAGUGACUGGAGAUAAUAAAGAAGGGUUUCAGUCCGUGGGAUUUAAAAAAUCCACCCAAGAGCCUGGUGACGCUCUGACCCACAGUCUGUGAAGCAGCCAGCUGGAAACUGCAUACAGCAACCCUAAUGGUCAGGACUGCACUGACGGCUUCCCUCCUUUUUGCCCUUGCUUCCAACUUAGGACCAACAGGGAGAACCAAAUAGGCACCCUCUUACCAGUCAGGUAGGAUCCCCUGACUGGAUACAGGAGAUGGAAAUAAAUUGUUUAGGCAGAUAGGGCAAAAGAGUCCUUGGCAGAACUCUAACAAAAAACAUCCCAAGAAAUCAUUUCUUUCUAACAAAGAGCAGCCUGAAAGAUGGAGCUGCAAACAUAGAUGAGGAAGCUGGAAGCUUGCAGGGGGGUGGGGGAGGCCUGCAGCUGCACUGAUAAAAGGGACUACCUGGCGCCAGGCAUGUCCACCAUGGGGGGUUCACCUUCCCUAAUUAUUUUUUGUUGUUGUUAACACAUGCACAGUAAGAAAGAAAUAAGCAACAUGGAGUAGCUACCCACGUGCGUAAUAAAAGAUUGGUGUGGGGGCGUCCAGAGAUUCGUGCCCUAUGCAGAUGGCACACCUGGUCCUGUUUUUUCGCACCCGAUGUAGAUCAGACACUGCUCCCCACUAGCUCAUCUAUAAAAAUCUUUGCAUUCCACUGUGCAUCAGCGACCUAUUUUUCCGGGACCCCUCUCUGUAGCAGAGAGCUAUUCUCUUUCUUUCACGUAUUAAAUUUCCACUCUUAACCUCACCCUUUGUGUGUCCUCGCCCUUGAUCUCUGUGGCUGUGAGACAAUGAACCUUGGGUGUCACCCCAGACAAUGAGGCCACUUCACUAGCAGCCGCCUCUGGUGGCUGGCAACCCCAUCAGGACUCCUCUUCCCCUUUUCCACCGCAGAUUUCCCAUUCCUCUCCCUGCCUUUGAGUCUCUGCCAAACAUUAUUGAGCUGCAUGAAAGAACCUUAAAUGCAUAUUACUAACUGAAAGAAACUGAUCUGAAAAGGCUGCAUACUGUAAGAUUCCAACUCUGUCACAUUCUGGAAAAGGCACAACCAUGGAGACAGUAAGAAGAGCAGUGGUUGGCAGGGGUUGGGGGAGAGAGGGAUGAACAGGCAGAGCACAGGGGAUUUGCCGGACUGUGAAACUACUCUGUAUGAUAUGACAGUGGUGGAUAUGGCAUUAGACAUCUGUUCAAACCCACAGAAUGUACUGAGGACUAAACUGACAUUUUUUCUCUCUUGCCCAAAUUCCUAUCUAAGGGGCCUGGGGAGUCAUACCCUAGAAACUGACAUCUCAACAGAUGGGCUUUAUUUAACCCUAUAUAUAACACAGCUUUCUUUCCCACCUGACUCUCGUAUAACAUCAUAUGACAGAUAAAGAAGGAAAUAAAAAUAUUUUACCCCAAAAUAGGAUUUUUUUUGUGUAUUUUGAAAUGGCCCUGCAAAGCUGUCUCUUGUGGGGAAAAUUUGCAUCCGUAAAGAAUCUCUAUUACCAUAACUAGCUCUUUUCCCUUCCAGGCCCUCCCAAUCCUCUAGAGAUUAGCUGAAAGUCUAGCACCUUUUAAAAGUCUGAAUAGGAAAUAUUGGCCAUCUAUUGUCUCUAAGGGCGACCUCCAUGAGACUUCAUCUACAUGGUAAGAACCUUGGUCUCCACAACCCCUUAUCUUGACCCAGAUACUCCUUUGUAUUGAUUGCAGGUUUUUAGAUAAUAACUGUUUCAAUGAAUUGCCAAUCAGAAAAUCUUUGAAUCCACCUAUGACCUGGAAGCCUUCCUCCCACCGACCCCCUUCGAGCUGUCCCACCUUUCUGGACUGAAGCAAUGUACAUCUCACAUGUACUGAUUAAUGACUCAUGUCUCCUUAAAGCGUAUAAAACCAAACUGUAAAACAACUGCUUUGGGCACAUGUUCUCAGGGCCUCUUGAGACUGACUGUACCUUGGGUCACUCACAUUUGGCUCAGAAUAAAUCUCUUCAAAUAUUUUACAGAGUUUGGCUCUUUUCACUGACAAUACAACACCAAGAGUGACCCUAAUGUGAACCACAGACUUUGGGUGAUAAUGAUGUGUUGGUGUGGGUUUAGCAGUAGUAACAAAUGCGCCCUGCUGAUGUGGGACAUGGACAGUAGGGCAGGCUGUGCAUGUGUGUGUGUGUAUGUGUGUGUGUGUGUGUGCGCACGUGAGCACAUGCGGGCCGGUGAGGGGUGUAUAUGAGAGCUCUCUGCACGCUCAGCUCAAUUUUGCUGUGUAAGUAUAGAAAAAAUCUUUCCUCCACCCAUCUAAGGUUUAUUGCCUUGGCCCCACAAAUUUAGACCAAUGAAAGCCAGGUUAACAAGAGAAAACAACGCAUUUAUUAAUUCAUGCAUCGCAAAUACACAUGGGAGAGCUCAGUGAUAAGUAAUAACUCAAAAAGGUGGUUAGAACUUGGGCUUAUUAGCAUCUUAAUGAGAGAGCAAUGUAUUUGUAGAGAAGUGGAAAGACAAAGGAAGGGGACCUUGAGCUUCUUUGGAUAACAAGUUGUGGGAAGGUAGAUCUAUGGGGGAAGCUGACAGAUAAGGUUGAUUUGGUGUGCUUGUGAUGUUGAUUUUUCUGGUGCUACCUCUGGGCUGGUAAGAGCCAUCCUGCCCUUCUGGUAGAUGGGGACAGGGCAGAGAGUUUGUCCUGUGUCUACUUGGUCUCAGUUGUCUUCAGCUCAAAAUAAUCUUUGUAUCAGAGUGGCAUAUUUUGGGAUGGCAUACUCUAAGCCCCUUCAGCUGUGAAUUCAAAACAACUCUAAAAAGUCAAUUAAAAAUUGUAUUCCUAUAACAUGGCCCUUGCUGGUGGGGCUCAGGACACACCACCCCAAAAUAUGACAGUACAAAACCAGAUAUGUGAACACAAAAUAUACUUCUUAGGCAAAUUUUGAUCUUGUUAUUCUAAGAAAUUGCAGACACAGGAGUAGCUCUGAAAAACUGCCCUUUUGUAAAAGAAAUUUAUAACUAUAAAAGAAAUCUACAUUAGUGAAGUAUCUGUAUCAGGAAGAGGGCUGGUUCCAGACAACUUCUAUCACCCCAGAGACUUUUCUCUGCAGAACAAGACACCUUUUAUUCACCAGACAUUGCCUCCCCUCACCCUCCCAGAACUUGUGCCCAUCCUCAGCAAGCCCCAAGCCCCUGUUCCUUUCUGUAACUCAGGACACUAUCUAAGCUUCAUUCAUCUGGCCCUUCUCCUAGUCUAUAGUUUGGGGGACUCCUGUGCAUAUAGAUGUAAUUAAAGUGGUGUUUCUCCUAUUAGCUUUUCUUAUGUCAAUUUAAUUCCUAGCCCAGCCAAAGAACCUAGAAGGGGAAGGGGAAGGGGAAGCCAUUUUUCCCUCCACGACCUGCUUUUCAAGAUCCCAGUUUGUUGGAACCACUUCAGAGUUAACCCUCUGUAAAUACUUGUCAGUCCUCAUCUUUUCAGUGUUUUCACCUGACAUUCACUCUUUAUUGCACUCUUACGUCUCCCAACAGGUUGCUCAAGAAACUCUCCCUUGCUGUGGACACUGCUGACUUCUGUAAAAUACAUUUACAGGAGGCCAUUAGUUUGGACUGAGCUUCUGCACUAGGCCCAACAGACUGAGACGGAGCAUGGACCCCUAUUAGAGGCCUGCUGGGCCUCCUCCAGCAUGGAAACAAAGGAAAAUCUUGAUUUCCUUCAAGGGAAAUUCCAGGUACCUAGCUGGCCUUGAGAAGUAAAUGAGCCACCUGAUAAGCAAGAAGGGAAUAAUAGCUUCAAGUAACAGGCACUCAAGUAAGUCAGAGCCACAAGGUGUUUGGUCCCCUAUUGAAACUAAAGAUUACAUCUUAGCAUAUGUCCAUGAAUGGUUUUUCAGAAACCCGGACCCACGUCAGAUGGAAAAUACUGACCAUCAUCACAGAGACCUCAGAUGUCGGGGAGCUGAGGGCUGCACUCUGACGGCUGCUCUUUGUUGUAAAUUUCUUUCUCAGGGGCCUGGAGAGAGUCAUGCCCACAGGCCAGACCUUAACAUUCCUUUCUGCUGACCCCAAGUUUUCGACAAAGCCUGGCUUCCUUAACCAAUUGCAAUCAAAGAAUCCUGAAGCCGCCUAUGACCUGUAAGCCCCUUGCUUCAAGAGCUUCCGCCUUUUUGGGCCAAACCAAUGUAUACCCUCUGCAUUGAUUUAUGGUUUCCCUGUAACUUCUGCUUUCCUGAAUUGUUCCCCUGCCUUUAAAAUCCCUUGCUUGUAAGCCAUCCAGGAGGUUGGGUCUGAAGUGUAAGCUGCCCCAUUCUCCUUGCUUGGUGUCCUGCAAGUUAACACCCUCCUUUCUCCUGCUGCAAACCUCCGUGUGGGUGUUUGGUUUUACCACACGGGGCAAGCAGACCCAGGUUCAGUUCAGUAACAAGACCGGACUGGAAUGGAGUUCCUUGCGCUAAAGUUCCACUUUUCCAAACCAAAACUAAGUUGUUUAUCUGACCUUCUGAGAAGUCAGGACACAGAGAGAUAAAAGGCAAAUCUCCAACAGGCCAGGUUUAGCCAGAGUGAUAAGCAGUCCUUCCCCUCUGCUUUAAUGUUUACAAGGAAAGUAACUUUGCAACCAAUCUAUGCUUUGUUCUUUGCUUCCACUUCAGCCUUUUCUAUCCAUAAAGCCCAUCUCCCCCACUCUGCUUGGAGGAACGCUCAGUCUGUUUUAUGGAAUGAAGUGUUGCCUGAUUCUAGAAUAGCAAAUAAAGCCAAUUAGGAUCUUUAAACUAAAUCUGUUGUACUUUUGUCUUUUGACAGUUCCAUGAUGGAAAAUCUAAUGGCCACUUUCCAUUACCACAUCCCAGGAGCAGUCCAGGUAAGUGGCUCCUUUUGUUUCUGGGGUCCAUCUCGCUCCUGGCUCUUGACGCCGAUGCUUCUCCUUCUCCUCCUGCAUUUCUUGUGCUCCUCCCCAAGGUUUGCCAGCGCGCUCACAACCCUUGCUUGGGAUUUAAAAUCUGAAGUGCGUCAUAACUCACCCCUGGACUCUGUUAUUCUUUUAUUGGUAUGCCAGAAAAAAAGAACCCCAAGCUCUCUGGGUGACCAAAUUGAUAUUUAAAGCAUUAAUUAUUAACUCUAUUCUUACAACCUCCAGAUUUUAUCUCCACUCAGAAUUAUAUGUACAGCUGCCUAGCUGAUUUCCAGACUGAAAUGCCUCUUUGACAUUACAGAUUAAAACUGAUCCCACUCUAUUGUCCAGGUCAUCUUCCUUGACUUGGCUGUGACCCAGACUUACUGUCUAAAUAAAUGGUGUGACGGCUCACCUAGGGACCCCAAUCCAGACUCUAGGAGAGUUUCUUCAGCCUGUAUCCCCCCAUGUCAUGAAUAAUCCAUUACCGAGUCCUGUUCGUUCUUCCUAUACAUCUCUCCAAAGGCUUCCCUCCAUUUCCACAAUGACCCCAACUGUUUCACCACUCGCUCCUCAAAGAACCUCUGGAUUUGUUUCUAGCUUUUGGCUAUGAGGAAUAAGCCUGCUGAGAACAUUCAGCUCCAGGAUUUUGUGUGAAUGUAAGUGCUUUAGUGGUGGGGCGGGACCCUGCAGGCCAUCCCUGGGUUGGAUGAUUCUCUAGAGGGACCCAGAGAACUCCACCAAGCUGACCUAAGGCCCUGAAAGUCAAACAGAUACCGCAUGGCCCAAUGCCUGCACCAUAGCUCACUUGUUGGAAUAAACUGCCUAAGAAAAAUGGGGGUACGUGGUUACAUUAUCAGAGGCAUCCCAGGUGGAUCCUGGAGACAUGGACAGUACCCGUAGUCACGAAGCUGACAGCUGGAAGAAGCCCAUCUGGUUCAACCCCUGUCUGGCAUAUUCCUUCCUUCUCCAUCCUCACUUUCUACCCCUCACAGGGACAGAGAAUUUACAGCUUACCGAGCCAGGCCAUUGCACUUUUGGACAACUCUACUAAAUGGAUUUUCCUCAUGCCAUUGCAUAACUGCUACCUGCCACCAGAGCCUCAGAAAUACAUGGUUUUCCAUCAAGCACUCAUGGAACAUGUAACUGUGGGCGCUUCUAGGGCGGUUCAUGAUGGAUCCUCCAAGAUCAACUAAAUAUAAAACAAGCUCCCAGCUGAGGCAGCUGCUCUCGCCUCUUCUUUCACUCGCUCCUGGCAGCACAGCAAUCUCUGCAAGUUACUUGGACCCUCAGGACUCCUUGUUCAAGUGCAAUGGAGGACCAUGCAGAUGGCAGGGAAAACCAAAGAAAGCUCAGGUGGCCCAUCAUGGCUGUCAUCGGUGGAAGAACGUCUCUAUUUAACACUGAACCUUAGUAAUGACAUGCUCUCCCCUUGUCCUGGACCUUCAUUUUGAAAUAGAGCAUUCGGGUGGGAGGGGAACCACGGGGGCAUUUCAAUCCUGAACCUGCUCUGGGCGGUGGCUCUAGCCUUUGGGAUUUUGUGCUCAUUUACAGUUUUUUGAGAUGGAAUCUUGCUCUGUCUCCCAGGCUGGAGUGCAGUGGUAUAAUCUUGGCUCAGUGCAACCUCCAUCUCCUGGGUUCAAGCAAUUCUCCUGCCUCAGCUUCCUGAGUAGCUGGGAUUACAGGUUCACGCCACCAUGCCCAGCUAAUUUUUGUAUUUUUAGUAGAGAUGGGGUUUCACCAUGUUGGCCGGGCUGGUCUCAAACUCUUGACCUCAAGUGAUCCACCUGUCUCGGCCUCCCGAAGUGUUGGGAUUACAGGCGUGAGCCACCACGCCUGGUCUGUCCUCAUUUACUUAAAGAGCCAUUACUCACCCCCAAUUCCCCAUAGAUAGUGGCCAACUUCUUUGAAAUCUGGAGACAUUUUCAAAUGCUCAACCCUUUUUUCAGCAAUUCUAUCUGUUUCUAAAAUAAGUGUCACUCAGGAUGGAUAUGCUUUUAGAGAAACACUGUGACAAAGACCCUUUGCUCCAGAGGAAGGACCUGCAGUGGCCCCAGGCUGUGGCUCCAGCAUCACUUGAGACAGUGUGAACAUUUGGACACAAUUAAAAUGAGGACACUUAAUCAAA
rnacentral:lncRNA from 1 species